CCGCCCGCCCGCCCAGCCAGCCAGCCUUCCCCCUCGGCCGGCUGGGCUCCUUUGCGCUGCCUGGGGUCCUUUCCGCCCGGUCCCCGCCUUCCAGUCCUCGCUGUGCUGUGCCCCGUACGGCCAGGCCUGGAGCCGACACCACCGCCAUCAUGCCGGCCGUGUCCAAGGGCGAUGGGAUGCGGGGGCUCGCGGUAUUCAUCUCCGACAUCCGGAACUGUAAGAGCAAGGAAGCGGAGAUUAAGAGAAUCAACAAAGAACUGGCAAACAUCCGCUCCAAGUUCAAAGGGGACAAAGCUUUGGAUGGGUACAGUAAGAAAAAAUAUGUGUGCAAACUGCUCUUCAUCUUCCUGCUUGGCCAUGACAUUGACUUUGGGCACAUGGAGGCUGUGAACCUGCUUAGCUCCAAUAAGUACACAGAGAAGCAGAUAGGUUACCUGUUCAUCUCUGUGCUGGUGAACUCAAACUCAGAGCUGAUCCGGCUCAUCAACAAUGCCAUCAAGAAUGACCUGGCCAGCCGAAACCCCACCUUCAUGUGCCUGGCCCUGCAUUGUAUUGCUAAUGUGGGCAGCCGUGAGAUGGGCGAGGCUUUUGCUGCAGACAUCCCCCGCAUCCUGGUGGCCGGGGACAGCAUGGACAGUGUGAAGCAGAGCGCAGCCCUGUGCCUGCUGCGGCUCUACAAGGCCUCACCCGACCUGGUGCCCAUGGGCGAGUGGACAGCCCGUGUGGUACACUUACUCAAUGACCAGCACAUGGGAGUAGUCACAGCCGCUGUCAGUCUCAUCACUUGUCUCUGCAAGAAGAACCCAGAUGACUUCAAGACAUGCAUCUCCCUGGCCGUGUCUCGCCUGAGCCGGAUUGUGUCCUCGGCCUCCACGGACCUCCAGGACUACACCUACUACUUUGUCCCAGCGCCCUGGCUCUCAGUGAAGCUUCUGCGGCUGCUACAGUGCUAUCCCCCGCCAGAGGAUGCCGCUGUGAAGGGGCGGCUGGUGGAAUGUCUGGAGACUGUGCUUAACAAGGCCCAGGAGCCCCCCAAGUCCAAGAAGGUACAGCACUCCAAUGCCAAGAACGCCAUCCUCUUCGAGACCAUCAGCCUCAUCAUCCACUAUGACAGUGAGCCCAACCUCUUGGUGCGGGCCUGUAACCAGCUGGGCCAGUUCCUGCAGCACCGUGAGACCAACCUGCGCUACCUGGCCCUGGAGAGCAUGUGCACACUGGCCAGCUCUGAGUUCUCCCAUGAGGCAGUCAAGACCCACAUUGACACCGUCAUCAAUGCUCUCAAGACGGAGCGGGAUGUCAGCGUGCGGCAGCGGGCAGCUGACCUGCUCUAUGCCAUGUGCGACCGGAGUAAUGCCAAGCAGAUAGUGUCAGAGAUGCUGCGGUACCUGGAGACAGCAGACUAUGCCAUCCGUGAAGAAAUUGUCCUGAAGGUGGCCAUCUUGGCUGAGAAGUAUGCAGUGGACUACAGCUGGUAUGUGGACACUAUUCUCAACCUCAUUCGCAUCGCAGGCGACUACGUGAGUGAAGAGGUGUGGUAUCGUGUUCUACAAAUCGUCACCAACCGUGAUGAUGUCCAGGGCUACGCUGCCAAGACUGUUUUUGAGGCACUGCAGGCCCCAGCCUGUCAUGAGAACAUGGUGAAGGUCGGCGGCUACAUCCUUGGGGAGUUUGGGAACCUGAUUGCUGGGGACCCACGGUCCAGCCCCCCAGUGCAGUUCUCCCUGCUGCACUCCAAGUUCCACCUGUGCAGCGUGGCAACGCGGGCCCUGCUGCUGUCUACCUACAUCAAGUUCAUCAACCUCUUCCCUGAGACCAAGGCCACCAUCCAGGGUGUGCUGCGGGCUGGCUCACAGUUGCGCAACGCUGACGUGGAGCUGCAGCAGCGGGCUGUGGAGUACCUCACCCUCAGCUCAGUGGCCAGCACUGAUGUCUUGGCCACAGUUCUAGAGGAGAUGCCACCCUUCCCUGAGCGAGAGUCAUCCAUUCUGGCCAAGCUGAAACGUAAGAAGGGGCCAGGGGCUGGCAGUGCCCUAGAUGAUGGCCGCAGGGACCCCAGCAGCAACGAUAUCAAUGGGGGUGUGGAACCCACCCCCAGCACUGUGUCUACACCCUCACCCUCCGCCGACCUCCUGGGGCUGCGGGCAGCCCCUCCCCCAGUGGCACCCCCAGCUCCUGCUGGUGCAGGGAACCUUCUGGUGGAUGUCUUCGAUGGCCCAGCUGCCCAGCCCAGCCUGGGGCCCACCCCCGAGGAGGCCUUCCUCAGCGAGCUGGAGCCGCCUGCCCCUGAGAGCCCCAUGGCUUUGCUGGCUGAUCCAGCUCCGGCUGCUGACCCAGGUCCUGAGGACAUUGGCCCUCCCAUUCCAGAAGCUGAUGAACUGCUGAAUAAGUUUGUAUGCAAGAACAAUGGAGUCCUGUUUGAGAACCAGCUGUUGCAGAUUGGAGUCAAGUCAGAGUUCCGGCAGAACCUGGGCCGCAUGUAUCUCUUCUAUGGCAACAAGACCUCAGUGCAGUUCCAGAACUUCUUGCCCACUGUUGUCCACCCGGGAGACCUCCAGACUCAUAUCCUCUCAGGCUUGGCCCAGCCCCCUGGCUCUAGCUUGGUCUCUCUUACUGUGAGAGGUCAGUGAAGAGAGCUGUGAAGACUCAGCGUCUUCAUCUGUGGGACAAGAGAUGACCACAGAUGAUGAGCAGGAGGCAUUAUUUCCACAACCCUACCUGCCCAGGACCUCAGUUUGGCCAUGUCAGGCACCUUGGAUGUCCUAACCUUGUCCUCCACUGGGCUGCAUGCCCACGAUGCUGGGGGUGUCCUGCAUCUGGGAGCCAGGCCUGGGGAUCUAGGUGCUCACCUUCUAAAUAGGCCCUUCUGUGUGACCUGGGCUGAGUCACUUUGCCUCUCUUGAGCCCUUCUAGCCCUUCUGUGUAGAUGCUCCUCUUCCUUCUAUAGUGUUGUGAAGACCAGAGCAGUUGGAAAACCCUGGAAAGGUAGCUGGUAGUGGCAGUCCUCUCUUUCCUUUCUCUGGGCCUCCAUUUCCACAUCCAAGAAAUUAGAGAGGCUCCAAAACUCUCAGGACUGUUUCAGUUCUUUGCUGCAUUUAUUCCUCCAUCAUUUCCUAAGGCUGUAGGCAGCUCUGCGCCAGGCAUGGAGUGGGGCUAAAAGAGGUUAAGUGGCUUGGUGGUAAGCCACUUAACCUAGGUUCACAGUCACUAGGUGGUAAGCACUGGGAUUCAGACCCAAGUCAGCCUCCAGAGCCAAUGCCCUUAUGUCUCAAUGUGAUGUUACUUGUGCCGCAAUAGGGUCACUGAGAUCACUGUGGAGGCCAUACGAGACGUUUGGGGGCAGUUCAAAGGUUACAUGGGAGAAACUUUGUGGUUGGGCUUUGUAGGCUGGCCGUGCAGACAAAGCGCGUGGCGGCACAGGUGGACGGCGGGGCGCAGGUACAACAGGUGCUCAACAUCGAGUGUCUGCGGGACUUCCUGACGCCCCCGCUGCUGUCUGUGCGUUUCCGGU